AACGAACGCUGGCGGCAUGCCUAACACAUGCAAGUCGAACGAGACCUUCGGGUCUAGUGGCGCACGGGUGCGUAACGCGUGGGAAUCUGCCCUUGGGUUCGGAAUAACAGCGAGAAAUUGCUGCUAAUACCGGAUGAUGACGUAAGUCCAAAGAUUUAUCGCCCAAGGAUGAGCCCGCGUAGGAUUAGCUAGUUGGUGAGGUAAAGGCUCACCAAGGGCGACGAUCCUUAGCUGGUCUGAGAGGAUGAUCAGCCACACUGGGACUGAGACACGGCCCAGACUCCUACGGGAGGCAGCAGUGGGGAAUAUUGGACAAUGGGCGAAAGCCUGAUCCAGCAAUGCCGCGUGAGUGAUGAAGGCCUUAGGGUUGUAAAGCUCUUUUACCCGGGAUGAUAAUGACAGUACCGGGAGAAUAAGCUCCGGCUAACUCCGUGCCAGCAGCCGCGGUAAU
rnacentral:rRNA from 1 species